CGACCUCUUGUCGGAGCAGUUGAGGCGUCCAGAGGCACAACGACGCCAGCCUCUUCCAGACAGCACGCCUCCGACCGACAUCAACGCUGUUUACAGCAUUUUGAGUCUGCCCCAGGCUGCCUCCGCACAAAACCCCACAAGACAGAAAGCUGGAAACACCAAGGACGAUUCUGCCAACUACGCUUCUGUGGACUUUAAGAAUAAGCUAAAGAAGAAGCAAAGAAAGGUGAAAGAAGACCCUGUGUAUGCGAAGGUUUCCAAGCCAACAAGAGUUAAAAAGAAUGAACCAGAGAGCCUGCAGGACUAUGAAAACAUUAGUAAUGCAACUGCACGUGCACCAAAAUAUCCAAAUCUAUUUGACAACCACACCAGUGAAGGUGAAGUAGAGCUCAACUAUUCACAAGUGAGAUUCACAGCGAAGCCCCAACGUCAGACGACCAACAGAGACUCCAGCAGCUCAGAGGAAGAUGAAAGUCUUUACUCUAACGUCAGGAUUUGACCCGAGAUAUUCUCGUCCUGCUUUUUACAGCUACCUCGGGCCUGAGGA